rnacentral:rRNA from 1 species
GACGAACGCUGGCGGCGUGCUUAACACAUGCAAGUCGAACGGAAAGGCCCUGCUUGCCGGGUACUCGAGUGGCGAACGGGUGAGUAACACGUGGGUGAUCUGCCCUGUACUUCGGGAUAAGCCUGGGAAACUGGGUCUAAUACCGGAUAGGAGCCAUUUUUAGUGUGAUGGUUGGAAAGUUUUUUCGGUGUAGGAUGAGCUCGCGGCCUAUCAGCUUGUUGGUGGGGUAAUGGCCUACCAAGGCGGCGACGGGUAGCCGGCCUGAGAGGGUGGACGGCCACAUUGGGACUGAGAUACGGCCCAGACUCCUACGGGAGGCAGCAGUGGGGAAUAUUGCACAAUGGGCGCAAGCCUGAUGCAGCGACGCCGCGUGGGGGAUGACGGCCUUCGGGUUGUAAACUCCUUUCGCUAGGGACGAAGCUUUUUGUGACGGGACCUAGAUAAGAAGCACCGGUGAACUACGU